rnacentral:rRNA from 1 species
AACGAACGCUGGCGGCAUGCCUAACACAUGCAAGUCGAACGAAGUCUUCGGACUUAGUGGCGCACGGGUGCGUAACGCGUGGGAAUCUGCCCUUGGGUACGGAAUAACUCAGAGAAAUUUGUGCUAAUACCGUCUAAUGUCUUCGGACCAAAGAUUUAUCGCCCAAGGAUGAGCCCGCGUAAGAUUAGCUAGUUGGUGGGGUAAAAGCCUACCAAGGCGACGAUCUUUAGCUGGUCUGAGAGGAUGAUCAGCCACACUGGGACUGAGACACGGCCAAGAGUCCUACGGGAGGCAGCAGUGGGGAAUAUUGGACAAUGGGCGAAAGCCUGAUCCAGCAAUGCAGCGUGAGUGAUGAAGGCCUUAGGGUUGUAAAGCUCUUUUACCCGGGAUGAUAAUGACAGUACCGGGAGAAUAAGCUCCGGCUAACUCCGUGCCAGCCGCCGCCGUAACAC